rnacentral:Y_RNA from 1 species
GGCUGGUCUGAUGGUAGCAGGUUAUCAGAACUUAUUAAUUUUAGUGUCACUAAAGUUGGUAUCCAGUACCCAACUGCAAAAUUUGGCUAAAAA